UACGGAGGGUGCGAGCGUUGUCCGGAAUCACUGGGCGUAAAGGGCGCGUAGGCGGCGCGAGUAGUCAACGGUGAAAGCCCGGGGCUCAACCCCGGGUCGGCCGUCGAUACUCUCGUGCUUGAGCACUGUAGAGGCAGGUGGAAUUCCGGGUGUAGCGGUGGAAUGCGUAGAUAUCAGGAAGAACACCCGUGGCGAAGGCGGCUCUCUGGGACGGUACUGACGCUGAGACGCGAAAGCGUGGGGAGCGAAGCAGG
rnacentral:rRNA from 1 species